AUUGAACGCUGGCGGCAGGCCUAACACAUGCAAGUCGAACGAGUGGCAGACGGGUGAGUCAUGUCUGGGAAACUGCCUGAUGACGGGGGAUACCUACUGGAAACGGUAGCUAAUCCCGCAUACCAUCAGCUGUGCCCAGAUGGGAUUCGCUGGUUGGUGGGGUAACGGCUUACCAAGGCCACGAUCCCUAGCUGGUCUGAGAGGAUGACCAGCAACACUGGAACUGAGAAACGGUCCAGACUCCUACGGGAGGCAGCAGUGGGGAAUAUUGCACAAUGGGCGAAAGCCUGAUGCAGCAAUGCCGCGUGUAUGAAGAAGGUCUUCGGGUUGUAAAACACUGUCAGUGGGGAGGCGGUACCCGCAGAAGAAGCAACGGCUAACUCCGUGCCAGAAGCCGCGGUAAUUC
rnacentral:rRNA from 1 species